GGCAUCAAUCUGACAUUGUUUUGUCUUUCAGGUUGCUCUAGCAGAGUCAGGUGCUGAGGUACCAACCAUUUCUCUUAGGUUACUACUGGGAAAAUUAUAGUGUUAAGAGACUUACUUCUAUUUUUGAGAAAUGACUUUAUCCCACAAACCUGGAGAAUCUCUGUGAACGUGUUGGGCAGUAAGUACGGGAUGAGAGUUUGUUGGCAUUUUUCUAAAAUAGUUUAUGUGAUCAAAUGCCACAUGAAAGAAGCAGUUUUGCUUCAUUCGGAAGCUUUUCAUUGGAAUAUUUCUAUUAUAAACAGAAUUCUACAACUUAAAACAUAAGCAACACUGGGAUCCUGGUCAGAAGAAGAAACUUAAACUUGGAGACACACAAGAACACUGUGUGAUGGCAGAGGGAGAGAUUGCAGAGAUGUGUUAAUAGGCAAGGAACACCUAGAAUUGCCAGAAAUCACCAGAAGCUAGGAAGAGGGAAGAAGGAUCCUCUCCUACAGCCUUCAGAGAGAGAGAGCAUGGCCCUGACAAUGCCUGAAUUCAGACUUCCAAGCCUCCAGGACUGUGAGACUGUAUAUUUAUGUUAUUUAAAGCUACCCAGUCGCUUGUUAUGGUAGCCUUAGUAAACAAAUGUACUUUGGAGACUACAUACUGAAGACAGCAGAUCCACAAGCUAUAAAAGAAAUAAAUAUUUUAGAUUUUAUGUACAUUAGAAAUAAAAUGUAUUGUUAA